rnacentral:rRNA from 1 species
AACGGACGCUGGCGGCAUGCCUAACACAUGCCAGUCGAACGAGGCCUUCGGGUCUAGUGGCGCACGGGUGCGUAACGCGUGGGAACCUGCCCUUAGGUUCGGAAUAACUCCCCGAAAGGGGUGCUAAUACCGGAUAAUGUCUUCGGACCAAAGAUUUAUCGCCUUUGGAUGGGCCCGCGUUGGAUUAGCUAGUUGGUAGGGUAAAAGCCUACCAAGGCGACGAUCCAUAGCUGGUCUGAGAGGAUGAUCAGCCACACUGGGACUGAGACACGGCCCAGACUCCUACGGGAGGCAGCAGUGGGGAAUAUUGGACAAUGGGCGAAAGCCUGAUCCAGCAAUGCCGCGUGAGUGAUGAAGGCCUUAGGGUUGUAAAGCUCUUUUACCCGGGAUGAUAAUGACAGUACCGGGAGAAUAAGCUCCGGCUAACUCCGU